AGAAGCAGAACUGAGAGUGAUGUGAAACAUGAGCACCUGAGUUAGGUCAUGGCCAGAAGCCAGUCUACCCCUGGGACUUCUGGUCACACCAGCAAACUCACUCACUUUUUGCUCAAAACACUGUCUUUGGGGUUUUGGUCACUUGCAAGUAAAGAAGCUCUAGUGAAUAAAGCAAGGGAUUCUGAAGUAUUCAGAACUAUGAAGUUUCCUAUUUGCAAGGAAAUUAUGACUUAAAUUGUGAAAAUCU